AUACUUACUUGGUGCUGGAUUCGUGGCGAUCAUAGAAACCACAGUACCGUGCGGAGGCCUUCCAUUGCGCUUAGGUUGGUCGAAGCACGCCACUUCCCCGAGUAGGGGUUGUUGGGGCAAUUAAUUUUUGGUUGCGGGGCGGAGCGUUCCCGCCAGCCCCU